CGGGUGCGUAACACGUGGGCAAUCUGCCUUAAAGUGGGGGAUAGCUCGGCGAAAGCCGGAUUAAUACCGCAUGUGGCUACCGGAGACAUCUUCGGGGCGCUAAAGUCGGGGCAACCUGACGCUUUUUGAGGAGCCCGCGGCCUAUCAGCUUGUUGGUGGGGUAACGGCCUACCAAGGCAAUGACGGGUAGCUGGUCUGAGAGGACGACCAGCCACACUGGAACUGAGACACGGUCCAGACACCUACGGGUGGCAGCAGUCGAGAAUUUUUCUCAAUGGGGGAAACCCUGAAGGAGCGACGCCGCGUGGAGGAUGAAGGUCUUCGGGUUGUAAACUCCUGUCAUUUGGGAACAAUGCUUACGUAUUAACUGUACGUGAGCUGAUAGUACCAGAAGAGGAAGAGACGGCUAACUCUGUGCCAGCAGCCGCGGUAAUACAGAGGUCUCAAGCGUUGUUCGGAUUCAUUGGGCGUAAAGGGUGCGUAGGUGGCGCGGUAAGUCGGGUGUGAAAUUUCGGAGCUUAACUCCGAAACUGCAUUCGAUACUGCCGUGCUUGAGGACUGGAGAGGAGACUGGAAUUUACGGUGUAGCAGUGAAAUGCGUAGAUAUCGUAAGGAAG
rnacentral:rRNA from 1 species